rnacentral:rRNA from 1 species
CUACGUGCCAGCAGCCGCGGUAAUACGUAGGUGGCAAGCGUUGUCCGGAAUUAUUGGGCGUAAAGCGCGCGCAGGCGGAUCAGUCAGUCUGUCUUAAAAGUUCGGGGCUUAACCCCGUGAUGGGAUGGAAACUGCUGAUCUAGAGUAUCGGAGAGGAAAGUGGAAUUCCUAGUGUAGCGGUGAAAUGCGUAGAUAUUAGGAAGAACACCAGUGGCGAAGGCGACUUUCUGGACGAAAACUGACGCUGAGGCGCGAAAGCCAGGGGAGCGAACGGGAUUAGAUACCCCGGUAGUCCUGGCCGUAAACGAUGGGUACUAGGUGUAGGAGGUAUCGACCCCUUCUGUGCCGGAGUUAACGCAAUAAGUACCCCGCCUGGGGAGUACGACCGCAAGGUUGAAACUCAAAGGAAUUGACGGGGGCCCGCACAAGCGGUGGAGUAUGUGGUUUAAUUCGAUGAUACGCGAGGAACCUUACCCGGGCU